AACGAACGCUGGCGGCGUGCCUAAUACAUGCAAGUCGAACGAGGUGCUUUUGUAGCAAUACGAGAGUAUCCUAGUGGCGAACGGGUGAGUAACGCGUUGGUGACCUGCCCCGAAGUGUGGGAUAACAGUUCGAAAGGAUUGCUAAUACCACAUGUGGUCAUUGGAUUUAGAAACCGAUGACUAAAGCAGCAAUGCGCUUUGGGAGGGACCUGCGUCCCAUCAGCUAGUUGGUGAGGUAACGGCCCACCAAGGCUACAACGGGUAGGGGGCCUGAGAGGGUGGCCCCCCACAAUGGAACUGAAACACGGUCCAUACACCUACGGGUGGCAGCAGUAGGGAAUAUUGCACAAUGGGCGAAAGCCUGAUGCAGCAACGCCGCGUGAGCGAUGAAGGCCUUCGGGUCGUAAAGCUCUUUUCUGGGAGAUGAGAAAGGACAGUAUCCCAGGAAUAAGUCUCGGCUAACUACGUGCCAGCCGCCGCCGUAAAAC
rnacentral:rRNA from 1 species